rnacentral:misc_RNA from 1 species
AAAAGAAAAAAGAAAAAAAAAAGCAGUGAGUUUCUACAUUCAACUACUACGUAUUACACAAGGAACAUGCAAUAGCCAAGGGAUAUCUUAGUUGUCUUUGCUGUCUCAUAUAUAAUUGCCAUUUAUAUUCCCCCAAGUCCACCCUGCCAACCUGCUAUGAUAGUGCAUAUAUAAUGGUAAAAUAUAGGACCUGCAAAUUCUUACUAUAUUGUAACAUAGCACUAGCAAUCCCAUGGUAAAAUCAUACUUAUAAAGUUCUGACAGCAGAACCAGGACAUAUAAGGAAAACCAAUCCAGGAUCUAGUAAUUCCAUUUUAAGCUUGAAGAGCAACAAUUAUAGAGGGAUUCGAAAAUCAUUUCAUGCAGCCAGAUAUCAAAACAAAUU